UCGAGAUCGAAAUAUAUCGAGCCAUCCGGAGAACCUGUGAAUGUGCGGUGGCACCAGCCGUCGCGUAACACUCGUCCUGGUUGUUGGCCCCGUCACCUGUCGGGGCCACGACAAGGGGCGAAUGAAACUCAAACCGGCGCAGCUACGCGCCAAGGGAAUAUAAAAGAGACACGAGCUCGGAUGGAGCUCGGUGGCGUGGAGUGCUAUCGCGCACCACACGGAUCAAAAUGACUCUCGGCAAUGGAUAUCUCGGCUCUCGCAUCGAUGAAGAGCGCAGCGAAAUGCGAUACGUGGUGCGAAUUGCAGAAUCCCGCGAACCAUCGAGAAUUUGAACGCAAGUUGCGCCCGAGGCCAGCUGGCUGAGGGCACGUCCGCCUGGGCGUCAAGCGUUGCAUCGCUCCGUGCCAUCUCCAUCCCACCUAAUAAGUGCGAAUGCGAGAGGGUCGGAUGUGGAGAGUGGCUCGUCGUGCCCACCGGCGCGGCGGGCUGAAGAGUGGGUGAUCGUCUCGUUCGCAACGAGCAGCAAGGGGUGGAUAAAAUUUGUGCCUGUGCUGUAUCGUGUCGGCCUGAGAAGAGAUUAUACCCUGCAGAUGAUCCCGGACCAAGCGUUGAUCCACGGACGGCGGCUUGGAAU
rnacentral:rRNA from 1 species